UAAGGCACAGGCCUUUGUUGGCCAAGAAAAGAACUUCACCUCCACCAGCAAUGAUUAUGAAGAGCUGACUGCAUACAAUAUACAAAAAGGAUACCCUAAAAAAAAUCUAAACCGCUACUACCAGGAACACUGGGCCUUCCAACCGUGCAUCAUCGGGAGACCCUGAGGGUUCUAGUGGCACCACACGGGCUCUGAGCUGUGCAGCUGCUGGAGGGUCUCCAUGAGGAUGAAGAAGGCAGUGGACAGGAGUCAUGAAGACUGAUUCAGAAACUCCACCACAAGGAGGGAAGAGGUCUGAGCCAUCCCUGUGCCACCAGCACGAGUCACCCCAGCUCCUGACAGCCAGGGAGGGGGGCUGCCUGCAAUUAAAGUCCUUGUUUGCAUCAGA
rnacentral:lncRNA from 1 species